UACGUAGGGGGCAAGCGUUGUCCGGAAUCAUUGGGCGUAAAGAGCGCGUAGGCGGUCCGAUAAGUCGGCUGUGAAAGUCAGGGGCUCAACCCUUGAAAGCCGGCCGAUACUGCCGGGCUCGAGUCCGGAAGAGGCGAGUGGAAUUCCCGGUGUAGCGGUGAAAUGCGCAGAUAUCGGGAGGAACACCAAUGGCGAAGGCAGCUCGCUGGGACGUGACUGACGCUGAGACGCGAAAGCGUGGGGAGCAAACAGGG
rnacentral:rRNA from 1 species